rnacentral:rRNA from 1 species
AGUCCUUUCCUUCGGGACAGAGGAGACAGGUGGUGCAUGGUUGUCGUCAGCUCGUGUCGUGAGAUGUUGGGUUAAGUCCCGCAACGAGCGCAACCCUUGAUUUUAGUUGCCAGCACUUUAAGGUGGGCACUCUAAAAUGACUGCCGGUGACAAACCGGAGGAAGGCGGGGAUGACGUCAAAUCAUCAUGCCCCUUAUGACCUGGGCUACACACGUACUACAAUGGCCAGUACAACGGGAAGCGAAAUCGCGAGAUGGAGCCAAUCCUAUCAAAGCUGGUCUCAGUUCGGAUUGCAGGCUGCAACUCGCCUGCAUGAAGUCGGAAUUGCUAGUAAUCGCGGAUCAGCAUGCCGCGGUGAAUACGUUCCCGGGUCUUGUACACACCGCCCGUCACACCACGAGAGUUUACAACACCCGAAGUCGGUGAGGUAACCGCAA